GUUGGCAUGUCAUUAAAGUGGGUACAAAAGUUACAGCAAACCACCCAUACGCUGCUGCUUGGUGCACUGCCUAUGGGCCAGCCCAGCUCUGAAGGAUCAGUCAUAGAUUUGCGACGUUGCCACCACCUCAACGAAGCUGCUUUCUUCCACCACCAGGCUCACUCUUGAAUUUUUUCCUCAGUGAAGGCAAGAACUUGCAUCAUUGCUGAGCUAGCCAGGAGAGAAAAGAAGAUGGUGGCAAGAGAGAUGACAAGAGACACUGAGGCAAUUGGAGAUCAAAGCUACAGGAGCUGUCACUCUAGGGCUGUAACUUCAAAUAGCUGCUAAUGUGGAGGACAGCUGUCACAUUAACCAAAGGCUAUUUCAGAGACAUUAACUUUUCUGGCAGGCAGUGGAGCCCCGUGCACAGUCCAAAAACUGCCUUGUUCAACCUCAUAUUGGUCAAGAGGACUGGGAGUUCCUGCACCCCUGGCCUGAUGGAUGACUACACUACAGUGACAGAUAUGUGGCCACCUGAGUGAUUCUUUUUCAUCUUUUUUUCUACCAGGUAGAUUCGCUGGUGAGUCAAGGCCUCUAAGGUCUCCCCUUGAGAGACAUGCUUACCCUUUCCCUUCCUCCCUUCUACAAUGACCUUCUGCUUCUUUUAGCCCCUCUCUGCCUACACUAAAAUAUUUUCUUCACUCUUUCUGGAAAUCAGUCUCAUGAUUCUAUUACCCAU
ensembl:lncRNA